rnacentral:rRNA from 1 species
GAUGAACGCUGGCGGCGUGCCUAAUACAUGCAAGUCGAGCGAACAGACGAGGAGCUUGCUCCUCUGACGUUAGCGGCGCACGGGUGAGUAACACGUGGAUAACCUACCUAUAAGACUGGGAUAACUUCGGGAAACCGGAGCUAAUACCGGAUAACGUGUUGAACCGCAUGGUUCAACAGGGAAUGACGGUUUUGCUGUCACUUAUAGAUGGAUCCCCGUCGCAUUAGCUAGUUGGUAAGGUAACGGCUUACCAAGGCAACGAUGCGUAGCCGAACUGAGAGGGGGAUCGGCGGCACGGGAACUGAGACGGGGUCCAGGCUCCUACGGGAGGCAGCAGAAGGGAAUCUUCCGCAAUGGGCGAAAGCAUGACGGAGUAGCGCCGCGUGAGAGACGGAGGUCUCCGGUGCGUAAAACUCUGUUUUUGGGGAAGAACCACUGUGUAAGGCGCUGUGCAGGUAUUGACGGUACCUAAUCAAAAAGCCACGGCUAACUACGUG